AGAGCUCAAAUUUAAAAUCUGGCGGUCUUUGGCCGUCCGAGUUGUAGUCUGGAGAAGUGCUUUCCGCGCUGGACCGUGUAUAAGUCUCUUGGAACAGAGCGUCAUAGAGGGUGAGAAUCCCGUCUUUGACACGGACUACCAGUGCUUUGUGAUGCGCUCUCAAAGAGUCGAGUUGUUUGGGAAUGCAGCUCAAAAUGGGUGGUGAAUUCCAUCUAAAGCUAAAUAUUGGCGAGAGACCGAUAGCGAA
rnacentral:rRNA from 1 species